rnacentral:rRNA from 1 species
AUUGAACGCUGGCGGCAGGCUUAACACAUGCAAGUCGAGCGAGCGGCGGACGGGUGAGUAAUGUCUGGGAAACUGCCUGAUGGAGGGGGUUAACUACUGGAAACGGUAGCUAAUACCGCAUACCAUCAGAUGUGCCCAGAUGGGAGUAGCUAGUAGGUGGGGUAAUGGCUCACCUCGGCGACGAUCCCUAGCUGGGCUGAGAGGAUGACCAGCCACACUGGAACGGCGACACGGUGCAACAUCCUACGGGCGGCAGCAGUGGGGAAUAUUGCACAAUGGGCGCAAGCCUGCUGCAGCCAUGCCGCGUGUGUGAAGAAGGCAUUCGGGUUGUAAAGCACUUUCAGCGAGGAGGCGUUACUCGCAGAAGAAGCACCGGCUAACUCCGUGCCAGCAGCCGCGGUAAUAC